UACAGAGGUCUCAAGCGUUGUUCGGAUUCAUUGGGCGUAAAGGGUGCGUAGGCGGCGCGGUAAGUCGGGUGUGAAAUUUCGGAGCUUAACUCCGAAACUGCAUUUGAUACUGGUGUGCUUGAGGACUGGAGAGGAGACUGGAAUUUACGGUGUAGCAGUGAAAUGCGUAGAGAUCGUAAGGAAGACCAGUGGCGAAGGCGGGUCUCUGGACAGUUCCUGACACUGAGGCACGAAGGCCAGGGGAGCAAACGGG
rnacentral:rRNA from 1 species